UACAGAGGGUGCAAGCGUUAAUCGGAGUUACUGGGCGUAAAGCGUGCGCAGGCGGUUGUGCAAGACCGAUGUGAAAUCCCCGGGCUUAACCUGGGAAUGGCAUUGGUGACUGCACGGCUAGAGUGUGUCAGAGGGGGGUAGAAUUCCACGUGUAGCAGUGAAAUGCGUAGAGAUGUGGAGGAAUACCGAUGGCGAAGGCAGCCCCCUGGGAUAACACUGACGCUCAUGCACGAAAGCGUGGGGAGCAAACAGG
rnacentral:rRNA from 1 species